rnacentral:rRNA from 1 species
UACGGAGGGGGGCUAGCGUUGUUCGGAAUUACUGGGCGUAAAGCGCACGUAGGCGGCUUUGUAAGUUAGAGGUGAAAGCCCAGGGCUUAACCCUGGAAUUGCCUUUAAGACUGCAUCGCUAGAAUCGUGGAGAGGUGAGUGGGAAAUUCCGAGUGUAGAGGUGAAAUUCGUAGAUAUUCGGAAGAACACCAGUGGCGAAG